UGGCCCAUCGCCAAAUGGUAAGGCACUGGACUCUGACUCCAGCAUUCUCAAGGUUCGAAUCCUUGUGGGCCAG
rnacentral:tRNA from 1 species